AGAAGAUAUACAAAAAGAAACAGUUUAUUGCUUAAAUGAUGAUGAUGAAACUGGAGUUUUAAAAGAGGAUAUUAUUCAAGUGUUCCUCUAUGGAAGUGAUAUAGCUCCUUUCUCUAAAGUGGAUGAGGAACAAAUGAAAUAUAAAUUGGAAGGCAAGUGCUUCUCUGUUUUGAGAUUUUGUAAAUCUUCUCAGGUUUAGAGAAGAUUCUUCAAGGGAAAUCAAGUUCUAAAGGUCUUUGCAGCAAGAGACGAUGAGGCAGCAGCAGUUGCACUUUCCUCCCUGAUUUAUGCUUUGGAUGAGUUAGAUGUGGUGGCCAUAGUUUGAUAUGCUUAUGACAAAAGAACUAAUCCUCAAGUCGGCAUGGCUUUUCCUCACAUCAAGCAUAAUCAUGAGUGUUUAGUGUAUGUGCAGCCACCUUUCAUGGAAGACUUGCUGCAAUAUCUGUUUUCAUCCUUGAAAAACAGUGAGAAAUAUGCUCCCACCGAGGCACAGUUGAAUGCUGUUGAUGCUUCUAUUGACUCCAUGAGCUUGGUAAAGAAAGAUGGGAAGACAGAUACUCUUGAAGACUUGUUUCCAACCACCCAAAUCUCAAAUCCUCUAUUUCACAGAUUAUUUCGGUGUCUGCUGCACAAAGCUUUACAUCCCCAGGAGCCUCUACCCCCAACUCAGCAGCAUAUUUAGAAUAUGCUGAAUCCUCCCACUGAGGUGACAGCAAAAUGUCAAAUUUCUCUCUCUAAAAUAAAGACCCUUUUCCCUCUGAUGGAAGCCAAGAAAAAGGAUCAAGUAACCAUUCAGGACAUUUUCCAAGACAACCAUACAAAUGGACCCAUCUCUAAAAAAUUAAUGACUGAGGAAGAGGGAGCCCACUUCAGCGUCUCCAGCCUGGCUGAAGACAGUGUCACCUCUGCUGGAAGUGUGAAUCCUACUGAAAACUUUCGUGUUCUAGUGAAACAGAAAAAUGCCAGCUUUGAGGAAGCGAGUGUUCAGCUCAUAAAUCACAUCAAACAGUUUUUGGAUAAUAAUGGAACACAAUAUUUUACGAAGAGCAGGGACUGCAUCAGAGCCUUCCAGAAAGAAGCCAUUAAGUUUCAAAAGAGCAGUGCUUUAACAACUUCCUGUAAGCGCUUUGAGAGAAAGUGGAAAUUAAACAAUUAAAUCAUUUAUGGGAAAUUGUUGUUCAGGAUGGAAUUACUCUGAUCACCAAAGAGGAAGCCUCUGGAAGAUCUGUCACAGCUGAGGAAGCCAAAAAGUUUCUGGCCGCCAAAGUAAAACCAAGUGAAGACACAGCAGCCGUAUUUGAAGAAGGUGCUUAUGGGAACGAUUUACUGGUUCCCAUCAGGUUUUCAAUAUGUGAGGACUCUAAGAGAGCUGCCAUCACUAUGAUUCUGGGAGUUCUAACAAAACAAGUUGGAGGCAGCCAUUCAAGGGGAACCAGAAGCUCUGGAGAAAUUCCCAGCAGGUUACCCCAAGGCAGAUCACCUAAUUCUCUGUGUAAUUAA